CCGUCGCACGCCUGCUCGCACGCGACCGUGUCGCUCGCCCGGGCGUCACGGGGGCGGUCGCCUCGGCCCCCGCGCGGUCGCCCGAACGACCGUGUGGUGGUUGGGGGGGGGGAUCGUCUUCUCCUCCGUCUCCCGAGGACGGUUCGUUUCUCUUUCCCCUUCCGUCGCUCUCCUUGGGUGUGGGAGCCUCGUGCCGUCGCGACCGCGGCCCGCCGUCGCCUGCCGCCGCAGCCCCUUGCCCUCCGGCCUUGGCCAAGCCGGAGGGCGGAGGAGGGGGCUCGGCGGCGGCGGCGGUGACCGCGGCGCGGUGACGCACGGUGGGGGUCCCCAUCCUCGGCGCGUCCAUCGGGGACGGCCGGUUGGAGGGGCGGAAGGGCUUUUUCCCGUAAACGCCGCGUUCGGCGCCAGGCCUCUGGCGGCCGGGGGGGCGCUCUCUCCGCCCGAGCAUCCCGACUCCCGCCCCUCCUCUUCGCGCGCCGCGGCGGCGACGUGCGUACGAGGGGAGGGUGUCGCGGUGUGGAGGCGGAGAGGGUCCGGCGCGGCGCCUCUUCCA
rnacentral:misc_RNA from 1 species